AGAAUUAUGGAGAGAGAUUUACCAUUUAAAGCGAGGAAAUGAAGAUCUGAAAGGGGAACUGUGCAGGCGACAAACAGAUUGGGAAGUGUCACAGCAAAAUAAAAUGAUGCAUCAACUAAACACGAAAUACGGAGGUCUGCAAGACGAUUUGAUGAAAAAACAAAAACAUUACGAAGAGUCGCAUCAAAAUGAAAUGAUCGAACUAAAAGGGAAAAUCUGCGAUAUAGCGACAGUGGUUAAAACACUGGAAACGGCAAGACAAG